rnacentral:lncRNA from 1 species
UUCGGGGCGAAUUUUUAAAAACUCGAACUCGAACCCGACUCCAAACUCGAGACCCGAACCCGAACCAGAACCCGAACCAGACGGAUUUUAAAAAUCCAUACUCAAACCCGAACCCGACCAAAAGUCUGAAACCUGAACCCGAACCAGAACCCGAAAAUUUGAACCCGAAACAAUUAUUUCUUUUUUCAAUAUUUCAAAAUAUAUUAUAUUAAAUCUAAAAUUUUAAAAUAUAAAUUCAAAUAUAACAUCAAAAUUUUAUAUAUAUAUUAUAUAUAAUACAAAAUAAAUUCGGGUUCGGGUCGGGUUCAGGUUCAGGUCGGGUACAAUCAAAAUCCAUAUCCGAAUCUAUAUCCGUCGGGUUUCUAUUUUUGAUAUCCAUAUCUGAAUCCAUAUCCAUAUCCAUCGGAUAUAUUCGUUUCAUUCGGGUUCGGGUUCGGAUAAAAUUUCGGGUAUCCAUACCCAUUGACAUCCCUA